rnacentral:rRNA from 1 species
CCUACGGGUGGCAGCAGUAGGGAAUCUUCCUCAAUGGGCGCAAGCCUGAUGCAGCAACACCGCGUGAGUGAAGACGGGUUUCGGCUCGUAAAGCUCUGUUUUUGGAGAAGAACGUGCGUGAGCGUAACUGUUCACGCAGUGACGGUAUCCAACAAGAAAGUCACGGCUAACUACGUGCCAGCAGCCGCGGCAAUACGUAGGUGGCAAGCGUUAUCCGGAUGUAUUGGGCUUAAAGCGAGCGCAGGCGGUUGCUUAGGUCUGAUGUGAAAGCCUUCGGCUUAACAGAAGAAGUGCAUCGGAAAACGGGAGACUUGAGUGCAGAAGAGGACAGUGGAACUCCAUGUGUAGCGGUGGAAUGCGUAGAUAUAUGGAAGAACACCAGUGGCGAAGGCGGCUGUCUGGUCUGCAACUGACGCUGAGGCUCGAAAGCAUGGGUAGCGAACAGGAUUAGAUACCCUAGUAGUC